rnacentral:rRNA from 1 species
CCUACGGGUGGCAGCAGUGGGGAAUAUUGGGCAAUGGGCGCAAGCCUGACCCAGCAACGCCGCGUGAAGGAAGAAGUCUUUCGGUUUGUAAACUUCUUUUCUCAGGGAAGAAGGAAGUGACGGUACCUGAGGAAUAAGCCACGGCUAACUACGUGCCAGCAGCCGCGGUAAUACGUAGGUGGCAAGCGUUAUCCGGAUUUACUGGGUGUAAAGGGCGUGUAGGCGGGGAUGCAAGUCAGAUGUGAAAACCACGGGCUCAACCCGUGGACUGCUUUUGAAACUGUGUUUCUUGAGUACUGGAGAGGCAGACGGAAUGCCUAGUGUAGCGGUGAAAUGCGUAGAUAUUAGGAGGAACACCAGUGGCGAAGGCGGUCUGCUGGACAGCAACUGACGCUGAGGCGCGAAAGCGUGGGGAGCAAACAGGAUUAGAUACCCGGGUAGUC